AUUAAGUGCAGCCGUGGAUAUCCGUGCCUAACAUUUGACCGUCCGUCUUAUUUGAAAAAUUUAUGAAAAUUUGAAAAUAUUUAGUCACACAUAAAGUACUAUUCAUGUUUUAUCAUCUAAUAGCAAUAAAAAUACUAAUCAUAAAAAAUUUUCAAAUAAGACGAAUGGUCAAACGUUGAACGUGAAUAGUGCAAAACUGCACUUAUU
rnacentral:pre_miRNA from 1 species